UGCGUAGGCGGAAUAAUAAGUCAGGGGUGAAAGCCUACAGCUUAACUGUAGAAUUGCCUUUGAUACUGUUAUUCUUGAGUGUAAUUGAAGUGGGCGGAAUGUGUUAUGUAGCGGUGAAAUGCAUAGAUAUAACACAGAACACCAAUUGCGAAGGCAGCUCACUAAACUACAACUGACGCUGAGGCACGAAAGCGUGGGGAGCGAACAGGAUUAGAUACCCUGGUAGUCC
rnacentral:rRNA from 1 species